rnacentral:rRNA from 1 species
AUUGAACGCUGGCGGCAUGCCUUACACAUGCAAGUCGAACGGCAGCACGGGAGCAAUCCUGGUGGCGAGUGGCGAACGGGUGAGUAAUAUAUCGGAACGUGCCCAGUCGUGGGGGAUAACGCAGCGAAAGUUGUGCUAAUACCGCAUACGACCUGAGGGUGAAAGCGGGGGAUCGCAAGACCUCGCGCGAGAGGAGCGGCCGAUGGCGGAUUAGCUAGUUGGUGGGUAAAGGCCACCAAGGCGACGAUCCGUAGCGGGUCUGAGAGGACGGCCCGCCACACUGGGACUGAGACACGGCCCAGACUCCUACGGGAGGCAGCAGUGGGGAAUUUUGGGACAAUGGGGGCAACCCUGAUCCAGCCAUUCCGCGUGAGUG